AGCAUAUCAAUAAGCGGAGGAAAAGAAACCAACAGGGAUUGCCCUAGUAACGGCGAGUGAAGCGGCAACAGCUCAAAUUUGAAAUCUGGCCCUCGGGUCCGAGUUGUAAUUUGUAGAGGAUGCUUUUGGUGCAGUGCCUUCCGAGUUCCUUGGAACAGGACGCCUUAGAGGGUGAGAGCCCCGUACGGUUGGACACUAAGCCUCUGUAAAGCUCCUUCGACGAGUCGAGUAGUUUGGGAAUGCUGCUCUAAAUGGGAGGUAAAUUUCUUCUAAAGCUAAAUACCGGCCAGAGACCGAUAGCGCACAAGUAGAGUGAUCGAAAGAUGAAAAGUACUUUGAAAAGAGGGUUAAAUAGCACGUGAAAUUGUUGAAAGGGAAGCGUUUAUGACCAGACCUUUGUCUGGCGGAUCAUCCGGUGUUCUUCACCGGUGCACUUCGCCAGGCUCAGGCCAGCAUCGAUUUCUGUAGGGGGAUAAAAACCAUGGGAACGUAGCUCUCUCCGGGGAGUGUUAUAGCCCUAGGUACAAUACCUUUACGGGGAUCGAGGUUCGCGCUUCUGCAAGGAUGCUGGCGUAAUGGUCAUCAACGACCCGUCUUGAAACACGGACCAAGGAGUCGAACAUUUAUGCGAGUGUUUGGGUGUUAAACCCUCACGCGUAAUGAAAGUGAACGGAGGUGAGAGCCCGUACGGGUGCAUCAUCGACCGAUCCUGAUGUCUUCGGAUGGAUUUGAGUAAGAGCAUAACUGUUCGGACCCGAAAGAUGGUGAACUAUGCGUGGAUAGGGUGAAGCCAGAGGAAACUCUGGUGGAGGCUCGCAGCGGUUCUGACGUGCAAAUCGAUCGUCAAAUCUGCGCAUGGGGGCGAAAGACUUAUCGAACCAU
rnacentral:rRNA from 1 species